rnacentral:lncRNA from 10 species
GGCCCGAGAAAAGAUGGGCACAGCGCCCAGGAUUGCCAGGGCAGCGUGAGAGCUCAGGUUAUUGUACCAGCAAGCCAGCAGUGAGAGUGCACAAAGAACUCUUACACAUGCAUGUGAGCCCAACCUACAGAGUCCCCCACCCCCUGCCACAGAACUAAAGAAACAAAGCACAAGGUCCCAUGUGGCCAAUCUGUCUCUGGUGUGCAGAUCUGAAAACAAGAGGUGAGGUACGUGGGGAGAUAUAGAACAUUUCUUUUUGUUU